rnacentral:rRNA from 1 species
GUGGGGAAUUUUGGACAAUGGGCGCAAGCCUGAUCCAGCAAUGCCGCGUGCAGGAAGAAGGCCUUCGGGUUGUAAACUGCUUUUGUACGGAACGAAACGGUCCUGGUUAAUACCUGGGGCUAAUGACGGUACCGUAAGAAUAAGCACCGGCUAACUACGUGCCAGCAGCCGCGGUAAUACGUAGGGUGCGAGCGUUAAUCGGAAUUACUGGGCGUAAAGCGUGCGCAGGCGGUUUUGUAAGACAGACGUGAAAUCCCCGGGCUCAACCUGGGAAUGGCGUUUGUGACUGCAAAGCUGGAGUGCGGCAGAGGGGGAUGGAAUUCCGCGUGUAGCAGUGAAAUGCGUAGAUAUGCGGAGGAACACCGAUGGCGAAGGCAAUCCCCUGGGCCUGCACUGACGCUCAUGCACGAAAGCGUGGGGAGCAAACAGGAUUAGAUACCCGAGUAGUCC